UGAUACACUGAUCCAUUAUCUAACUUGCAGCAUGAAGCUAUACAUCGUAAACACUGUUUAAAAUCAGUACUGGGGUUUUCAGAUAAAAUAUACUGUAUUCCCGGGUGUAUAUAACGCUUUACAACAAACUGCCUUUUAGCGACUAUUUACAGUACACUUAAUGGAAAGCAUUAAAGAGCUGCAGGCAAACAGUCAUCUGUACAUCUAAUCUACUAAUCAGUUUGGUGAGCAUGCAGGAAAUCGAAUCUUCAAAGCAAAACAUCAUCACAUUAGUACAAAAGACUAAAUGUCAGAGACAGACAUGAAAAGACUCAAGAAUGUUUGACCCUGUAAGGUACUACUCAGCUAUUUUAAUCUUCACCAUUGACUGGUUGGUGUUUACAUGUGUAAAAGGGCAAAACUCCCCUACUAAUGAACCAGAAAUAAAAUAUGCUGUGAUUGGAGUGGGGAUUGGGAUUUUCUUCUCCAUCUGUUUUCUAGCAGUAAAAAUAUACAUUAUCAGAAGACAAAUGCAUGAGAAUGACCAAUUAGCAGCACCAGCAGCAUCAUGAAGGGCAUCUACGGAAAGGAAUGUUGACAGCAGAAAAGACUGAAGACUAUCUUCGGAGGACAAACAAAUAUGAUGAUAUACCUAAAAGCGAAGAAGAGAACUUUGACAACUGACAGAUUAUUACUUUUUACCACAGAAAAAAACAAUUGUCAAAUUAGACCUGAAAAUUAAACCAUUGUUGUGGCUCUUUAGGUCAUGAUAGAAAUGACAUAGUUUUUGUAAGUGUUGUGUAAAAUAAAUGAAUUAUUUUGUGUGAAA